AUUGAACGCUGGCGGCAGGCUUAACACAUGCAAGUCGAGCGAGCCGCGCACGUGUGUGUAAUGUCUGGGAAACUGCCUGAUGGAGGGGGAUAACUACUGGAAACGGUAGCUAAUACCGCAUACCAUCAGAUGUGCCCAGCUGGGAAUAGCUUGUAGGUGGGGUAAUGGCUCACCUAGGCGACGAUCCGUAGCUGGUCUGAGAGGAUGACCAGCCACACUGGAACUGAGACACGGUCCAGACUCCUACGGGAGGCAGCAGUGGGGAAUAUUGCACAAUGGGCGCAAGCCUGAUGCAGCCGUGGCGCGUGUGUGAAGAAGGCCUUCGGGUUGUAAAGCACUUUCAGCGAGGAGGCGUUACUCGCAGAAGAAGCACCGGCUAACUCCGUGCCAGCAGCCGCGGUAAUAC
rnacentral:rRNA from 1 species